ACUCUGAACCUAUAGCCACAUUUGACCACAUCGAUAUUUGUUACAAUGAACGCAAUUCAAUUACAGCAGCUCCCAACAUUGGCCACUGGAUGGCAGCGCGGAGCUGUCAGUCUUUCGCCUCAGGCAAAACAUCGAUUCAAGGAGGAGAAGAAGAAUGAAAAAAAAAGUUUUUAGAAAAACAAGUUCUAACAACAAAGGCUGUUUGCGAUUUCUAAAAACAAAAUUUCUUCCAAAGAACCUUUUCUGUUGACACAUGUUAUCCUAUAUGCGGUGAAUCUCCGAGCUGAGACUGAGAGAAGAGCCCCUUGGCAAGGCAGAACCCAAGUAUGAGAGAAGAUUCCUGCCCGCAUGAUAAUACAUCUGGAGCUGUAAACCCCCCCCCCCCCCCCCUUGCAUUUAACAUGGUGGUAUGACUCUUCAUACACUCCCUGGAAAUUGUUUUCAUUCCCACUUUCCUGGAACCGUGGCAGCAUAUGCGGAGUUGCCUUUCAGCAGGAAGACAAUGCUUCUUGGAAAUGUUCCAAAGUCGGGAAUGUACGAUGGAUGAUGACAGCAGACGACCUGCAGGCUGAUGAUUCAAGAGGUACCAAUAUGGAGGGGGGCCCAGAACAUCUGGAUUCAUACGGUUGUUGUUUGUGUUGUGUGGCCUCCUUUAAAAAAUUAAAUAAAAAUAAUUUCUGGGUCCUGAGCUGGUAAUCCCCUCCGGAUAAAGGGUUAGAUCGUUUUUUACAGAACUUUUUAGUGAGAUGAAGAUGGAUGAUGCAUCCCACUGGCUCUGGCUGAAAAUAAAUCCCCACCCAAAGUCUGGAACUUGUUAUUUUUAUAUAUUUAUCUACAGAACCAUUCAGUCUCCACGCUCACCGCUGUAUUAAUGCAUCUGAACAGCCGGGGAGUAGAAGUGUGAUUUUAAAUAUAAAUACACAGAUAGACGACUGAGUGCUUAAAUGGAUAUUUCAUCCAAUAUUUACCCAAACAAAACCCCUUUGAAUGUUAGCUGAAUUUCUAUUUCUAAUAUUAACUAUUAGUUUUAAAUAUACAGUCUGUGUCUCACCCAAGCCCCCAUAAUUCAGGUCUGAAAUUGAAGCCAACACGGAAGUGUGAAAAAUUGCAGUUCCACCCUCAUCCACUAGGGGCUGGUGUCAGAAACGAGCAAAUCCUCAUUGACUCCCAUGUUAAAAAUACCAAUUUCA